rnacentral:rRNA from 1 species
AGAGUUUGAUCCUGGCUCAGGAUGAACGCCGGCGGUGUGCCUAAUACAUGCAAGUCGUACGCACUGGCCCAACUGAUUGAUGGUGCUUGCACCUGAUUGACGUUGGAUCACCAGUGAGUGGCGGACGGGUGAGUAACACGUAGGUAACCUGCCUCGGAGCGGGGGAUAACAUUUGGAAACAGAUGCUAAUACCGCAUAACAACAAAAGCCACAUGGCUUUUGUUUGAAAGAUGGCUUUGGCUAUCACUCUGGGAUGGACCUGCGGUGCAUUAGCUAGUUGGUAAGGUAACGGCUUACCAAGGCAAUGAUGCAUAGCCGAGUUGAGAGACUGAUCGGCCACAAUGGAACUGAGACACGGUCCAUACUCCUACGGGAGGCAGCAGUAGGGAAUCUUCCACAAUGGGCGCAAGCCUGAUGGAGCAACACCGCGUGAGUGAAGAAGGGUUUCAGCUCGUAAAGCUCUGUUGUUGGAGAAGAACGUGCGUGAGAGUAACUGUUCACGCAGUGACGGUAUCCAACCAGAAAGUCACGGCUAACUACGUGCCAGCAGCCGCGGUAAUACGUAGGUGGCAAGCGUUAUCCGGAUUUAUUGGGCGUAAAGCGAGCGCAGGCGGUUGCUUAGGUCUGAUGUGAAAGCCUUCGGCUUAACCGAAGAAGUGCAUCGGAAACCGGGCGACUUGAGUGCAGAAGAGGACAGUGGAACUCCAUGUGUAGCGGUGGAAUGCGUAGAUAUAUGGAAGAACACCAGUGGCGAAGGCGGCUCUCUGGUCUGCAACUGACGCUGAGGCUCGAAAGCAUGGGUAGCGAACAGGAUUAGAUACCCUGGUAGUCCAUGCCGUAAACGAUGAGUGCUAAGUGUUGGGAGGUUUCCGCCUCUCAGUGCUGCAGCUAACGCAUUAAGCACUCCGCCUGGGGAGUACGACCGCAAGGUUGAAACUCAAAGGAAUUGACGGGGGCCCGCACAAGCGGUGGAGCAUGUGGUUUAAUUCGAAGCAACGCGAAGAACCUUACCAGGUCUUGACAUCCAGUGCAAACCUAAGAGAUUAGGUGUUCCCUUCGGGGACGCUGAGACAGGUGGUGCAUGGCUGUCGUCAGCUCGUGUCGUGAGAUGUUGGGUUAAGUCCCGCAACGAGCGCAACCCUUGUCAUUAGUUGCCAUCAUUAAGUUGGGCACUCUAAUGAGACUGCCGGUGACAAACCGGAGGAAGGUGGGGAUGACGUCAAGUCAUCAUGCCCCUUAUGACCUGGGCUACACACGUGCUACAAUGGACGGUACAACGAGAAGCGAACCUGCGAAGGCAAGCGGAUCUCUUAAAGCUGUUCUCAGUUCGGACUGUAGGCUGCAACUCGCCUACACGAAGCUGGAAUCGCUAGUAAUCGCGGAUCAGCACGCCGCGGUGAAUACGUUCCCGGGCCUUGUACUCACCGCCCGUCA